CCUACGGGGGGCAGCAGUGGGGAAUAUUGGGCAAUGGGCGCAAGCCUGACCCAGCAACGCCGCGUGAAGGAAGAAGGCUUUCGGGUUGUACACUUCUUUUAAGAGGUAAGCGCAGAAGACGGUACCUCUUGAAUAAGCCACGGCUAACUACGUGCCAGCAGCCGCGGUAAUACGUAGGUGGCAAGCGUUGUCCGGAUUUACUGGGUGUAAAGGGCGUGUAGCCGGGCUGACAAGUCAUAUGUGAAAUCCCGUGGCUCAACCACGGAACUGCAUUUGAAACUGUCGGUCUUGAGUAUCGGAGAGGCAGGCGGAAUGCCUAGUGUAGCGGUGAAAUGCGUAGAUAUUAGGAGGAGCACCAGUGGCGAAGGCGGCCUGCUGGACGACAACUGACGGUGAGGCGCGAAAGCGUGGGGAGCAAACAGGAGUAGAUACCCGAGUAGUC
rnacentral:rRNA from 1 species